AACGAACGCUGGCGGCAUGCCUAACACAUGCAAGUCGAACGAGACCUUCGGGUCUAGUGGCUCACGGGUGCGUCACGCGUGGGAACCUACCCUUAGGUUCGGAAUAACUCCCCGACAGGGGUGCUAAUACCGGGUAAUUUCUUCGAACCAAAGAUUGAUCGUGUUUGGAUGGGCCCGCGUUGGAUUAGCUUGUUGGUAGGGUAAGAGCCUACCAAGGCGACGCUCCAUAGCUGGGCAGAGAGGAUGCGCAGCCACACUGGGACUGAGACACGGUCCAGACUCCUACGGGAGGCAGGAGUGGGUAAUAUUGGACAAUGGGCGAAAGCCUGAUCCAGCAAUGCCGCGUGAGUGAUGAAGGCCGUAGGGAUGUAAAGCUCUUUUACCCGGGAUGAUAAUGACAGUACCGGGAGAAUAAGCUCCGGCUAACUCCGUG
rnacentral:rRNA from 1 species